GGGAAUGGGCUAACUGGCUAAACUACUAUCUUGUCCAUCCUGCCUUCACUUCAGUCCUUCCACAUUGUUAUUUGGUGUUUGAACUGUGCUAGAAGAACUGUUUUAUACAGGCUGCUAUUCAAUAAAUUUGUAAAUACCAUACCCACACCAAAGGAUUUAACACUGAAAAGAUUAAGGUAAUUUUGGAAAAUUCUAAAAGUCACUUUUCACUCCUGAGAUGUAGGUGGUCAGAAGAAAUGAGGAACACUGUAGAAGCCAUAUGCAAGAUGCACAGAUGGCAUUGUGUUUGUUGUGGACUGUUGAUGUUAACAGGAUGGAAGAAGUCAAAACUGAACUUUAUAAAAUAGGGUAUAAGAAAAUAAAGAUGUCCCUGUACUUACAGGUGCUAAGAAACUAGACUUGAAGAACUUGUCUCUCUCAGAAAUUGAGAAAUUGUUAGCAAUGGUUGAACUAAGCUCAUCAACUCCUUGGCAUUUGCAGCCUACCUGUGCAAUCAUAGGACAUGAAAUAAAGGAAGGACUUGAGAAACUCCAUGAUGUGAUAAUGAAGAGAAAAAUAUUGCAGUAAUAUAAAA
rnacentral:lncRNA from 1 species